rnacentral:rRNA from 1 species
AUUGAACGCUGGCGGCAGGCUUAACACAUGCAAGUCGAACGAGUGGCGGACGGGUGAGUAAUGCUUGGGAAUCUGGCUUAUGGAGGGGGAUAACUACGGGAAACUGUAGCUAAUAACGCGUACCCUAGGAUGAGCCCAAGUGGGAUUAGGUAGUUGGUGAGGUAAAGGCUCACCAAGCCGACGAUCUCAAGCAGGUCUUAGAGGAUGACCAGCCACUCUGGUACUGUGGCACUACCCCGACUCCGACGAUACGCAGCAGUGGGGAUUAUUGCGCAAUGGGGGCAACCUGAUGCAGCCAUGGCGCGUGCAUGAGGAAGGUCUUCGGGUUGUAAAAUUCUGUCUGUGUCUACGCGUUGACUACACAGAAAGCACCGUCUAACUCCGUGCCAACAGCCGCGGUAAUAC